AGGGAUGUAGCUCAGUGGUAGAAUACUUGCCUAAAAUACACAAGACCCUGGAUUCAAUCCCCAGUGUUCUUA
rnacentral:tRNA from 1 species